GAAAUGCGAUAAGUAAUGUGAAUUGCAGAAUUCCGUGAAUCAUCGAAUCUUUGAACGCACAUUGCGCCCUCUGGUAUUCCGGGGGGCAUGCCUGUCCGAGCGUCAUUGCGAACCCCUCAAGCACGGCUUGUGUGAUGGGCCCUCCCGCGUCUUGGUCGUCAAGACGGGCCCGAAAUGCAGUGGCGGCUUCGCGGUUAUCCGAUCAGCCAGAGCGUAUCGGGACUUUCUCUCUGUCACACGCCCGCGGCGCGGACCGACGCCUGUCGACCUUUAUUCAUCUUUUUCUCGGUUGACCUCGGAUCAGGUAGGGAUACCCGCUGAACUUAAGC
rnacentral:misc_RNA from 1 species